UGAUGUCAUAAGAGGACCCCCUGACACGUUAGUGUCAUUCACCCAAUAGAGCUUUAUUAAGGGUUGAAUGGGGGGGUUCCGAUCUCAGUUGACUGCGGUAGCACAAAUGAGUCAAGCCACCCGCCAACUCGGAGCCAUCUGGUCCAGCCGAGCUCGGAGUUGGGGGCCCCGAGGAAGCAUGCGGAACGCACUCUGCAAGCCGUCCUGCCACACCUCGGGGGAGUCUGGAGCACGGGAGGCCAUGGCAGGCCCUCAGCGGAAGGCUACCGGGCCGGGAGGAAAUGGACAAAGAAGGGUUCUUACUCCUCAACCCACACCAUCCACCCCUCAGGGUAGGGGAUCAAAGGGGAGUGGGAGGACCUAGGAGGACAGGGCACGAGGACAGGAAAGCCCACCCCCACGCCGUGGAGCCGGCCAAGAAUGCUCGAUUAAGAUUUUCAAAGAAAGUAGAAGCGAGACUCUGUAUGGCAUCUCGACUCCAUCCCCAGGGCCUGGGCCUGGACUCAGUUAACAGAGAGAUGAACAUGCUAUAGAAGAGAGCAAAAUAAAAAACUAUACAUAUAUUUUUUACAAGAGUACGAAAGUGCGGAAGGGAAACAAUGAAGAAGAAAGAAAAUGAAGAGAGGGAAAAGGAUCAAGAAAGGAAAACCUCGCUCCAACAGCAGACACCCAGAUGCUCAUGAUUCUUCGGUUCCCGUCAGAGAGGCCAAAAAGUGGAGGACCACAAAGCAGGGGGGACACAGCACGUGAAUACCUGAAAGUGGACCUGGUGCACGUGGCAGGGUUGUCAUUAAUGUCCUCCACAAUGAAGGUUAUCUGCAUGCGAUUCUCCUGACCCCCCGAGGGUCUGUCCUUCACCAGGACUUCCAGAGAAAUGGUGGGAUUUUGUCUUAGGUGACCUGCAUCUCGGUCUAGCCUGUGGGCCACUUGGAUCGUACCCGUCCCUGAGAAGGCAAAGGUGAGAACACAGCUCGUCUGGAGAUUUGGAGGCAAUCGGAAAGAUCAUCCUGGUAUGAGGACUGGCUUGCAGGGAGAGUACCCUCUAUACAAACACAUUUUUAAAAACUCAUGUAAGUUAGGCAUUGAUGGGGAUACCUGGCCUGAUCCUUCUAGAACUUUUCACCUCAAAUUCCAAGGUUGGGCCCCUGGCAGCUAUGCUUGCCCAUAGUUGGCCAGACAGUAGACAGCUGGCUCCAGCUUGACCCACUGAGUUCUCUUACUAGAGAGCGUGGAACCGAGAGACAGAAGUUGGGUUAAGAGCAGAGUUAGAGAUCAGAGGCCAGAACUCUCGCUGCCGAGGCUGGUGGGGCAGCGCUGGUUCCCACCCUUCCUGUGACCCACCCAUGGGUUCUCAUGAGAUACCCAGGAUCCUGUUGAUAGGUAUCCCCUAUCUUUUUUUUUUCCUCUCAUGCUUGCUUUGGCUUGCCUUCAUUUCUGUUUCUUGCAACCAGAGUCUUAGUAAAUAUGCUCCAGAAAACCACUGUAUUUAAAAGUUGCAUUUGCACUACUAGAGUGACAAGAAUUUUAAACCAUGGGUGUCCAUCCCUACACCAUCAGCUGAGUGAGGUCCUUGAUGACAGGACACUAGAAAUUCUCAGAGACAGAGCACAAUCUCUGCCUUAGCCUGCCUCUCCCGGGACCAGACAUCCUUUGCCGUAAAGCCAACGGGGCAAAUAAUACAUUGUCUUUCUGGGAUCGUCUGAUGCCGGCCUCCACAAAGUCAUUAUGUACAGGGAAGUCCUUUGGACGGAUGUGAAAGGAACUUCCAAGGUGGUAUCGCCUAGGAGUGGUCUCUGGGGUCGCAGUCUUUGGUUUGAAUCUGCUUCAUACCUUCAAGCUGUGAGGCCUUGGACAAGUCAUUCACCCUGUCCAUGUCCUCUCUAAACCUUGUUCCCUCAUCUAUAAAGUGUGCAUUAUGAUAGUUCAUUGGGUUGCUGUAUUACCUAAAAAUGGAGUACAUGUGGAUCACUUAGUACAGCACCUGGUAUAUGCUAAGACCCCAAUAAAAGAUGGCUGUUAUAGGAGGGGGAAACUUUCCUUCUCUGCACCGACAUACUUAGACAGGAAGGUAACUGCCAGCAACCCAGGAGACUGACCUGGAGUGAUGCAGUCCAAUAUGGUAACCACUAGCCACAUGUGGUUAUUCAGCACCUGCGAUGUGGCCAGUCCAAACUGAGAUGUGUGAUAAAUAUAAAAUACACAGCAGACUUCAAAGACUUGGUACAAUAAAUGAUAAUGUCAAACAUGUCAUUAAUAACUUUAAGAUAUCGGUUACAUGUUAGUGACAACGUUUUGGAUAUGCUGGGUUAAAUAAAAUGCCUUAUUGAAGUGAAUUUCACCUAUUUCUUGUUACUUUUUUUUUUUUCUUGUUACUUUUUAAAAAUGUGUCUACUAGGGG